UGUAAGAAAAUUGAUAUAACCUCGUGGAAAGGAAUCAUUAAAAAAAAAAAUGAUAUAAUAUAAAUCGGUUUCGAAUUCCAAAGAAAACAUCCACAAACAUCUGAGAGAGUUUCAGGAUUAUUAAAAAAUCUGCAUAAAAGAGUAUUUUUAAAGAAAGUUGGCAUAACCUGACCUGCAGAAAGGAAUAAACUAAUUAUGUAUAAAAAAAUAACUGAAAUAAACCAUUUUCUAAAAAUAACCAAUAUAAAUCGAUCCCGAAUUCCAAAAGAAAAUAUUCACGAAGACAGUUUCUAAUAAUUUCUAGGAAAGAAAAAUGCAUGCAGAAUGAAG